AUUGCCUCAGUAACGGCGAGUGAAGCGGCAACAGCUCAAAUUUGAAAUCUGGCCCUAGGCCCGAGUUGUAAUUUGCAGAGGAUGCUUUUGGCGCGGUGCCUUCCGAGUUCCCUGGAACGGGACGCCAUAGAGGGUGAGAGCCCCGUCUGGUCGGACACCAAGCCUCUGUAAAGCUCCUUCGACGAGUCGAGUAGUUUGGGAAUGCUGCUCAAAAUGGGAGGUAUAUGUCUUCUAAAGCUAAAUACCGGCCAGAGACCGAUAGCGCACAAGUAGAGUGAUCGAAAGAUGAAAAGCACUUUGGAAAGAGAGUUAAACAGCACGUGAAAUUGUUAAAAGGGAAGCGUUUAUGACCAGACUUGGGCCGGUUGAUCAUCCAGCGUUCUYGCUGGUGCACUCUGCCGGUCCAGGCCAGCAUCAGUUCGCUGCGGGGGAUAAAGGCGUCGGGAAUGUGGCUCCUCGGAGUGUUAUAGCCCUUCGCGCAAUACCCUGUGGCGGACUGAGGUUCGCGCAUUCGCAAGGAUGCUGGCGUAAUGGUCAUCAACGACCCGUCUUGAAACACGGACCAAGGAGUCGUCUUCGUAUGCGAGUGUUCGGGUGUAAAACCCCUACGCGUAAUGAAAGUGAACGCAGGUGAGAGCUUCGGCGCAUCAUCGACCGAUCCUGAUGUUCUCGGAUGGAUUUGAGUAAGAGCAUACGGGGCCGGACCCGAAAGAAGGUGAACUAUGCCUGUAUAGGGUGAAGCCAGAGGAAACUCUGGUGGAGGCUCGCAGCGGUUCUGACGUGCAAAUCGAUCGUCAAAUAUGGGCAUGGGCGCGAAAGACUAAU
rnacentral:rRNA from 1 species